ensembl:lncRNA
UGAGGGACCUUAGGAGAAACACAGUCUUGUGGUGAGACCAGUGUGUGUGUGUGUCUAAGUGUAAAGAGAGCGAGGGAAACGCGCGAGAGAAAGAAAAGCUACCCUUGGAAACAGAGUGACUCGCGUCUCUACCCUGAGUACCGUGGGCUGCAACUUUUCCUUUCAGUCGAGAAAAAGAAAUCCAGAAAGCAUCCUAAGGGAUUGUAGAAGUGUGAUCAGCCCUACCUACCAACCUCCCUACCAACAAAAGUUGCCUUACAAGUGCUGGCGAAGAAGCUGAGGGUACAAAUGGACUGAAGGAAGAGGAAGUACUACUGCGACUCUCACACACAGCUCUCCCACAUCUACAAAGGAUUGCUAUGUAAAUGCACCAGUGAAUAGGAGUGAAUGGACAGACUUAAAGCAGAUUAUGUUAAACCUCUUGUUAGUUUAAAGACAUGCUGAAGUGAAUGGGUG